GACGAACGCUGGCGGCGUGCUUAACACAUGCAAGUCGAACGCGCCUGUCCUCUGGGUUUCUGGGGGGUGGGUGAGUGGCGAACGGGUGAGUAACACGUGAGUAACCUGCCCCCUUCUUCGGGAUAACGGUCUGAAAGGGCUGCUAAUACCGGGUAUUCACUGGUCUCCGCAUGGGGUCUGGUGGAAAGGUUUUUUUCUGGUGGGGGAUGGGCUCGCGGCCUAUCAGCUUGUUGGUGGGGUGAUGGCCCACCAAGGCUUUGACGGGUAGCCGGCCUGAGAGGGUGACCGGUCACAUUGGGACUGAGAUACGGCCCAGACUCCUACGGGAGGCAGCAGUGGGGAAUAUUGCACAAUGGGCGCAAGCCUGAUGCAGCGACGCCGCGUGAGGGAUGGAGGCCUUCGGGUGGUGAACCUCUUUCGCCCGUGGUCAAGCCGCGACGUGGGUCGUGGUGAGGGUAGUGGGUAAAGAAGCGCCGGCUAACUACGU
rnacentral:rRNA from 1 species